GCUGGGCAUGGUGGCACGUGCCUGUAGUCCUAGCUACUUGGGAGGCUGAGCCCGCUGGAUCGCUUGAGCCCAGGAGUUCUGGGCUGCAGUGCGCUAUGCCGAGCAGGUGUCCGUGCUAUGGCUGGCAUCAAUACAGUGAGACAGGGGGAGCCGGGGCAUGCCAGGUUGACUAAGGAGGGGUGAAACAGCCCAGGUCGGAGAUGGAGCAGGUCAAAGCUCCUGUGCUGGUCAGUAGCGGGAUCGCGCCUGUGAAUAGCCACUGCGGCGUAGCCUGGGCAACACAGAGAGACGCGGGAUCCU
rnacentral:SRP_RNA from 1 species